rnacentral:rRNA from 1 species
UACGGGGGGGGCAAGCGUUGUUCGGAAUUACUGGGCGUAAAGGGCGCGUAGGUGGCCUCAUAAGUCCGCUGUGAAAGUCAAAGGCUCAACCUUUGAAAGCCGGUGGAUACUGUGAGGCUAGAGUACGGAAGAGGCGAGUGGAAUUCCUGGUGUAGCGGUGGAAUGCGCAGAUAUCAGGAGGAACACCAAUAGCGAAGGCAGCUCGCUGGGACGUUACUGACACUGAGGCGCGAAAGCGUGGGGAGCGAACAGG